CCUACGGGAGGCAGCAGUGAGGAAUAUUGGUCAAUGGCCGGAAGGCUGAACCAGCCAAGCCGCGUGAGGGAGGAAGGCGCAGAGCGUCGCAGACCUCUUUUGCCGGGGGACAAAAGGCCGGACUCGUCCGGUCCUGAGGGUACCCGGAGAAAAAGCAUCGGCUAACUCCGUGCCAGCAGCCGCGGUAAUACGGGGGAUGCGAGCGUUAUCCGGAUUGAUUGGGUUUAAAGGGUGCGCAGGCGGGCGUUUAAGUCGGUGGUGAAAUUGCGGGGCUAAACCCCGCCGCGCCGUCGAAACUGGGGGCCUUGAGUGCGGCGGAGGCAUGCGGAAUGCGCGGUGUAGCGGUGAAAUGCAUAGAUAUCGCGCAGAACCCCGAUUGCGAAGGCAGCGUGCCGGGCCGCCACUGACGCUGAGGCACGAAAGCGCGGGGAUCGAACAGGAUUAGAUACCCGGGUAGUC
rnacentral:rRNA from 1 species